rnacentral:rRNA from 1 species
GACGAACGCUGGCGGCGCGCUUAACACAUGCAAGUCGAGCGAGAACCAGUCCUUCGGGACUGGGGACAGCGGCGAACGGGUGAGUAACACGUGGGUAAUCUGCCCUCGAUUCUGGGAUAGCCCGGGGAAACCCGGAUUAAUACCGGAUAGCCUCUCUGGUCUUCGGGCCGGCGAGAAAAGGUAGCUUCGGCCUCCGAUCGAGGAUGAGCCCGCGGCGGAUUAGCUUGUUGGUGGGGUAACGGCCCACCAAGGCGACGAUCCGUAGCUGGUCUGAGAGGACGAUCAGCCACACUGGGACUGAGACACGGCCCAGACUCCUACGGGAGGCAGCAGUGGGGAAUCUUGCCCAAUGGACGAAAGUCUGAGGCAGCGACGCCGCGUGGGGGAAGAAGGCCUUCGGGUUGUAAACCUCUUUCAGCAGGGACGAAGCCACUCGGGUGAAUAGCCCAGAGGGUGACGGUACCUGCAGAAGAAGCCCCGGCUAACUACGUGCCAGCAGCCGCCGUAAAAC